rnacentral:lncRNA from 1 species
UAACCUUUUAUUUUGCAUUAACUAAAUCUGCUUUUAUAAGCUUAUCAAGCCUUUCAAAUUUACAGUUAAUGGAGAACACCGUAAUUUGAGAUGUCAGAAAAUGCAUCUCAGAUGGAGAAGGGAACUUGCAGAGUCCUUCUCUGAGGCUAAGGGAAGUUAUAUAUUAUAUUCUGGUUGUUCCUUGGGUUUUAAACUUGGAACCAAGCAGUUUUCGUUUUUAAAAGUACAGUGCCUUAUUUAUCCUUUUUGUUUUUAAAUUUACAAAAGCUAAAAAGCUGAUCUAUGUGAUUAA